GCGGGUGUAACUCAGUUGGUAGAGUGUCUGCUUCCCAAGCAGAAUGUCGUCGGUUCGAGUCCGAUCACCCGCUCCA
rnacentral:tRNA from 1 species